AACAAUGCCGAUGGCCAUACCACCCUAAACAUGGCCAAUCUCAUCUGGUCUCAGAAGCUAAGCAGGGUCGGGCCUGGUUAAUACUUGGAUG
rnacentral:rRNA from 11 species